rnacentral:misc_RNA from 1 species
GGGAAAAUCGAAUCGAGAGCAUCCCGUGAGCAACGAUCCCGGCUUCGUGCAUUUGCACGUGCAUUCUGCCUAUUCGCUGCUGGAAGGCGCAAUGACGAUCGGCAAGCUCGCCGAUUUCGCCAAGGAUGAUAAGCAGCCGGCGCUGGCGCUGACCGACACCGACAACAUGUUCGGCGCGCUGGAAUUCUCCGAAAAGCUGGCUGCAUCCGGCAUCCAGCCGAUCGUCGGCUGUGCGCUCGCCAUCGACUUCGGCGACGAGACGCGCGAUCCGCGCAUGUCGGGCAAGCUGCGCGCGUUGCCGCGCAUCGUGCUGAUCGCGGCGCGCGAGG